rnacentral:rRNA from 1 species
AAAACAUCGCCUCCUGCAAUACAACCAAGUAUAGGAGGUCCAGCCUGCCCAGUGACCACAAGUUCAACGGCCGCGGUAUUUUGACCGUGCAAAGGUAGCGCAAUCACUUGUCUUUUAAAUAGAGACCUGUAUGAAUGGCUAAACGAGGGCUUAACUGUCUCCCUUUUCAGGUCAGUGAAAUUGAUCUAUCCGUGCAGAAGCGGGUAUAACAAUACAAGACGAGAAGACCCUUUGGAGCUUAAGGUACAAAACUCAACCACGUCAAGCAACUUAAUAAAAAGUAAAAACUUUGUGAAACAUGAGAUUUUACCUUCGGUUGGGGCGACCGCGGAGGAAAAAAAAGCCUCCAAGUGGACCGGGACAAACUCCUAAAACCAAGAGAAACAUCUCUAAGCCACAGAACAUCUGACCAAACAUGAUCCGGCCACCAGGACCGAUCAACGAACCAAGUUACCCUAGGGAUAACAGCGCAAUCCCCUCCCAGAGUCCAUAUCGACGAGGGGGUUUACGACCUCGAUGUUGGAUCAGGACAUCCUAAUGGUGCAGCCGCUAUUAAGGGUUCGUUUGUUCAACGAUUAAAGUCCUACGUGA